rnacentral:tRNA from 1 species
AGGGAGUUAGUCCAAAGCAAGACCUCUGAUUUCGGCUCAGAAGAUCGUGGUUUAAUUCCAUGACCCCCUU